rnacentral:lncRNA from 1 species
AUGCCACCAGAACAGGUUUUCUAUUUCCUACACAAAGUUCAGAACUUGGUGAUUCUUUGCAAUCUGGCACUUGUGCUGCUUCAGCCUUAUAUCUAUUCAUUACUUACGCCUAACUCAAGCGGAACUACUAACUACACCCUGAAUCCCUCACAUACUUCUACACUUCCAAGUGCUACCCUAUGCCAUUCUCUGUUACUUCUAAAGUUCUUUAUUCAGGAUCCAAGGCAAAUGUUACCUGCUCAAUGUAGUUUUGCUGAUUUUAUCCUUCCUCCUCCCAUUCCUUGA